rnacentral:rRNA from 1 species
AUUGAACGCUGGCGGCAGGCCUAACACAUGCAAGUCGAGCGGUAGCACAGAGAGCUUGCUCUCGGGUGACGAGCGGCGGACGGGUGAGUAAUGUCUGGGAAACUGCCUGAUGGAGGGGGAUAACUACUGGAAACGGUAGCUAAUACCGCAUAACGUCGCAAGACCAAAGUGGGGGACCUUCGGGCCUCAUGCCAUCAGAUGUGCCCAGAUGGGAUUAGCUGGUAGGUGGGGUAACGGCUCACCUAGGCGACGAUCCCUAGCUGGUCUGAGAGGAUGACCAGCCACACUGGAACUGAGACAGGGUCCAGACUCCUACGGGAGGCAGCAGUGGGGAAUAUUGCACAAUGGCGCAAGCCUGAUGCAGCCAUGCCGCGUGUGUGAAGAAGGCCUUCGGGUUGUAAAGCACUUUCAGCGGGGAGGAAGGCGGUGAGGUUAAUAACCUCAUCGAUUGACGUUACCCGCAGAAGAAGCACCGGCUAACUCCGUGCCAGCAGCCGCGGUAAUAC